rnacentral:rRNA from 1 species
GACGAACGCUGGCGGCGUGCCUAAUACAUGCAAGUCGAGCGAAGUUUUUCUGGUGCUUGCACCGGAAAAACUUAGCGGCGAACGGGUGAGUAACACGUAAAGAACCUGCCUCAUAGACUGGGACAACUAUUGGAAACGAUAGCUAAUACCGGAUAACAGCAUUAACUGCAUGGUUGAUGUUUAAAAGUUGGUUUUGCUAACACUAUGAGAUGGCUUUGCGGUGCAUUAGCUAGUUGGUGGGGUAAAGGCCUACCAAGGCGACGAUGCAUAGCCGACCUGAGAGGGUGAUCGGCCACACUGGGACUGAGACACGGCCCAGUCUCCUACGGGAGGCAGCAGUAGGGAAUCUUCCGCAAUGGGCGAAAGCCUGACGGAGCAACGCCGCGUGAGUGAAGAAGGAUUUCGGUUCGUAAAGCUCUGUUGUUAGGGAAGAAUGAUUGUGUAGUAACUAUACACAGUAGAGACGGUACCUAACCAGAAAGCCACGGCUAACUACGUG